UCGAACGAAGCACUUUUACAGAUUUCUUCGGAAUGAAGUUUUAGUGACUGAGUGGCGGACGGGUGAGUAACGCGUGGGUAACCUGCCUCACACAGGGGGAUAACAGUUGGAAACGGCUGCUAAUACCGCAUAAGCGCACAGUACCGCAUGGUACGGUGUGAAAAACUCCGGUGGUGUGAGAUGGACCCGCGUCUGAUUAGCUAGUUGGCAGGGCAACGGCCUACCAAGGCGACGAUCAGUAGCCGACCUGAGAGGGUGACCGGCCACAUUGGGACUGAGACACGGCCCAAACUCCUACGGGAGGCAGCAGUGGGGAAUAUUGCACAAUGGGGGAAACCCUGAUGCAGCGACGCCGCGUGGGCGAAGAAGUAUUUCGGUAUGUAAAGCUCUAUCAGCAGGGAAGAAGAAAUGACGGUACCUGACUAAGAAGCACCGGCUAAAUACGUGCCAGCAGCCGCGGUAAUACGUAUGGUGCAAGCGUUAUCCGGAUUUACUGGGUGUAAAGGGAGCGCAGGCGGAAGGCUAAGUCUGAUGUGAAAGCCCGGGGCUCAACCCCGGUACUGCAUUGGAAACUGG
rnacentral:rRNA from 1 species